rnacentral:rRNA from 1 species
AGCGAACGCUGGCGGCAGGCCUAACACAUGCAAGUCGAACGAACCUUUCGGGGUUAGUGGCGGACGGGUGAGUAACACGUGGGAACGUGCCUUUAGGUUCGGAAUAACUCAGGGAAACUUGUGCUAAUACCGAAUGUGCCCAUCGGGGGAAAGAUUAAUCGCCUUUAGAGCGGCCCGCGUCUGAUUAGCUAGUUGGUUGAGGUAAUGGCUCACCACGGCGACGAUCAGUAGCUGGUCUGAGAGGAUGAUCAGCCACAUUGGGACUGAGACACGGCCCAAACUCCUACGGGAGGCAGCAGUGGGGAAUCUUGCGCAAUGGGCGAAAGCCUGACGCAGCCAUGCCGCGUGAAUGAUGAAGGUCUUAGGAUUGUAAAAUUCUUUCACCGGGGACGAUAAUGACGGUACCCGGAGAAGAAGCCCCGGCUAACUUCGUG